rnacentral:rRNA from 1 species
UACGAACCGUACAAACGUUAUUCGGAAUCACUGGGCUUAAAGGGUGCGUAGGCGGCCACGUAAGUGAGAUGUGAAAUCCCUCGGCUCAACCGAGGAAGUGCAUUUCGUACUGCAUGGCUUGAGGGAGACAGGGGUAAGCGGAACUGAUGGUGGAGCGGUGAAAUGCGUAGAUAUCGGAAGGAACGUCGGUGGCGAAAGCGGCGCGCUGGACCUCUUCUGACGCUGAGGCGCGAAAGCCAGGGGAGCGAACGGG